UGUUUUUUUUCCUUCUCUUUUCUCUUUUCUCUCUCUCUUUUCUUUUUUGCAGCGGAGUCGCAACCCAAAAAUCGAGUAGUGGGCUCCUUAACAUAACACGUAACCCGCCACGCGAAGUAAAAAAAAAAAACCUAACCAAAUAGAACUCGUCGGAAGGAGCGGGAGGACUCGGAGGUCCAAAGGGCGGACAUGGCGGCGGCGAAGGCGGCGUUGGAGAAGAUGAGGGCGUUCUGGGACUCACAGUGCAACAACGAGGAGAACUGGGCGGUCAACUAUGAGGACGUGAUGUUUUUGCACUCGAGCGCACAUGCGCUCGUUAUCUCCGCUGUUCGUUAUUGCCUCGCGAUACGAUGCAUUGAUGGUGUGGGGCCAUCCACCGGGCCAAAUAUGGAGUUAAUCGCGGGUUUGUCAUAACGGACGUUCUGACGGGAGGGCCAGGUGACGGCGGAAAGUAGGUUACCGUCAGCCCACCGGAGAAGAGCCGUGGCUCGGGAAGUCCAUCGCCGUCCUGAUCCAUGGAUCAGAAAUUUUGCUUUUCCGUUUGUCCACAGGGCAGCGAUAGUAAUUGCUAGGCGUAGUGGUUGGGCCGCUGAGCCGAUGCAGCCAAUCUGUUUUUCCCCAUUCGUAGAUCGCUGCACCUUUGAUCUGUUUUCCCCAUGGAGCAGCCGAGAUCUCAGAGAUGAAUUUCCUGAUGCAACUCAUAAAAAGCUUCGUCUUUGCGUGAUCAGGUUGACGGUGCUAGAGGAGGUUCACGACGAGAUGCAGGUGGAGGAGCGGACAGCGGAUGCCCGGAUCUGUGCUCGAGAAGAUGUGGUGCCGGUAGAAGAAGGAGGUUCACUCUAGGCCUCAAAGUUGUUUACCGGGAAGAUGAACCCGCAACCUCAAAGGCUGGACUAGAAGAGUAAGGGUUAGAGCCGCUGCACCAGGGAGGACUCCUUGCCCAAAUCGCACAUAGGCGUUGGAGAAAACAAUUAGGUGCUUUGCUGGGGAGAAUGUCUGUCGUGCCAGCUUCGGGGACAAGCUUCGACUCUUUUGGGGAAGCAUAUGAUUUCUACUCCCUUCGUUCCUAAAUAUUUGUCUUUCUAGACAUUUCAACAAGUGACUACAUACGGAGCAAAAUGAGUGAAUCUACACUCUAAAAUAUGUCUACAUACAUCCGUAUGUGGUAGUCAUUUAAAAUGUCUAGAAAGACAAAUAUUUAGGAACGGAGGGAGUACAAGCCAAGAGAUGGUAUGUGGAUGUGCGAAGGUGCUAAAGGCUGCUGGUAUAUUUGCUGGAUCUGUCUUCCUGAUGCACAACUUUGGCCAUAAUAUGGUUAUCUAAACAGGACUAGAUAGGGCAACAAUGGACAUUCAAUGGUGCGGUGUUGCAUUGCCUUUUUUGUUUUCUCAUCAACAUGGUCAUCACACAUGUUCUUAGUGUGGAUUAAGGCGUGAAACUGUUGUUCUUAGACAUUGGUUGGUAAUAAUGGCAGCCAAAGUAGUAUAUGUAUUACUCUAUCAGGUGUUCUCAUGCUUUGUGCAUUAUCAGGCAAGUCGUUGCAAACUUGUUGGGAAUCCCUUUUUGUUAGGUCUUCUUGAACUCUGUCCUCCAGUUCAUGCAGUGAAUUGAUACUAUAUUUCUGUGAAUAUUUA